rnacentral:rRNA from 1 species
CGGACGGGGUGAGUAACGCGUGAGAAUCUGGCUCUAGGUCGGGGACAACCACUGGAAACGGUGGCUAAUACCGGAUGUGCCGAGAGGUGAAAGGCUUGCUGCCUAGAGAUGAGCUCGCGACUGAUUAGCUAGUAGGUGUGGUAAGAGCGCACCUAGGGACGAUCAGUAGCUGGUCUGAGAGGAUGAUCAGCCACACUGGGACUGAGACACGGCCCAGACUCCUACGGGAGGCAGCAGUGGGGAAUUUUCCGCAAUGGGCGAAAGCCUGACGGAGCAAUACCGCGUGAGGGAGGAAGGCUCUUGGGUUGUAAACCUCUUUUCUCAAGGAAUAAAUCAAUGAAGGUACUUGAGGAAUAAGCAUCGGCUAACUCCGUGCCAGCAGCCGCGGUAAUACGGAGGAUGCAAGCGUUAUCCGGAAUGAUUGGGCGUAAAGAGUCCGUAGGUGGUUGUGAAAGUCUGCUGUCAAAGCGUGCGGCUUAACCGCAUAAAGGCAGUGGAAACUACACAGCUAGAGUGCGUUCGGGGCAGAAGGAAUUCCUGGUGUAGCGGUGAAAUGCGUAGAGUCAGGAAGAACACCGGUGGCGAAAGCGUUCUGCUAGGCCGCAACUGACACUGAGGGACGAAAGCUAGGGGAGCGAAUGGGAUUAGAUACCCCGGAAGUCACGCGUUACUC